UACUUAACUCAGAGUGCAAUC
rnacentral:misc_RNA from 1 species